AUGGCGGCGCCGGCGUCCUCGGCCCCGCCGAAGAAGAUCGUGGCGCCCACCGUGUCGCAGAUCAACGCGGAGUACGUGACCCAGUUAGCAAACAAAUACUGGGCUCCACACGUGAAGAAAAAAUUGUCUUUUGAGUCAAAGGUUAUUGAAGAUGUAUAUACAAAAGAAAUUGUCAGGUCAAAGUUUGCUAUUAGAAAGAUAAUGCUUCUUGAAUUCAGCCAGUACCUUGAAAAUUACCUGUGGAUGAAUUAUUCUCCAGAGGUGUCCAGUAAGGCAUAUUUAAUGUCAAUCUGCUGUAUGGUGAAUGAGAAGUUCAGAGAGAAUGUCCCUGCGUGGGAGACAUUCAAAAAAAAGCCAGAACACUUUCCCUUCUUUUUCAAAUGCAUACUGGAAGCAUCGCUGGUUGAAAAUGAUAGUGAAUAUUCUCUGCACGAACAGACAGUCCUGCUGCUUUUCCUUGAUCACUGCUUCAAUAGUUUGGAAGUGGAUUUGAUCAGAGGUCAGGUGCAGCAGCUCAUUUCCUUACCAAUGUGGAUGGCUCUACAACCUAAACGACUGGAACAAGAGCUGAAAAAGACACCAAAGCUAAGAAAAUUCUGGAAUCUAAUUAAGAAAAAUGAUGAGAAAAUGGAUGAGGAGACAAGAAUGCGAGCAUAUCGGGAGAGAAGAUUUCUUUCACAGCUCAUUCAGAAAUUCAUUUCUGUGCUAAAAUCAAUACCAGUCUCAGGUCCUAUUUCUAUGGACAAAGUUCAUUAUUGUGAGAGAUUCAUUGAACUCAUGCUAGAUCUUGAGGCUUUGCUUCCCACACGGCGCUGGUUUAAUACAGUGUUGGAUGACUCCCAUCUUGUUGUUCACUGUUACCUCUCCAGUCUUGCUAAAAGAGAGAAGGAGGGUCAUCUCUUCUGCCAGCUUUUAGAUAUGCUUAAAUUCUACACUGGCUUUGAAAUCAAUGAUCAGACUGGAAAUGCUUUGACGGAGAAUGAGAUGACAACAAUUCACUAUGACAGAAUUACUUCUCUACAGAGAGCAGCAUUUGCACAUUUCCCGGAGUUAUAUGACUUUGCACUCUCAAAUGUAGCUGCAGUAGAUACUCGUGAUUCACUGGUGAAGUUAUUUGGACCCCUUAGCUCAAAUGUUCUUCACCAGGUGGCGUCAUACCUCUGCCUGCUGCCACCCCUUCCGGAAGGGGAAGACUCGAGCUACGAGAAGGAGUUUCUGCUGGAGUUGCUGGUUUCCCGUCAUGAGCGACGAAUAUCUCAAAUUCAACAACUCAACCAGAUGCCUCUUUAUCCCACAGAGAAGAUUAUUUGGGAUGAAAAUAUUGUACCAACUGAAUAUUAUUCUGGAGAAGGCUGUCUUGCACUUCCCAAAUUGAAUCUGCAGUUUCUGACUCUUCAUGACUACCUGCUGAGGAACUUCAAUCUUUUCCGCUUAGAGUCUACCUACGAGAUUAGACAAGACAUUGAAGAUAGUGUCAGUAGGAUGAAACCAUGGUUAUCGGAAUAUGGAGGUGUGGUCUUUGGUGGAUGGGCUAGGAUGGCACAACCCAUUGUCUCUUUCACAGUGGUGGAGGUGGCAAAACCCAAUAUUGGUGAAAACUGGCCCAUGCGAGUACGAGCAGAUGUUACAAUUAAUUUGAAUGUCCGAGAUAACAUCAAAGAUGAAUGGGAAGGUCUGCGUAAACAUGAUGUCUGCUUUUUGAUUACGGUACGUCCCACGCAACCUUAUGGCACCAAGUUUGACCGACGACGACCUUUUGUUGAGCAAACUGGCCUGGUAUAUGUCAGAGGCUGUGAAAUCCAGGGCAUGUUGGAUGAGAAAGGACGUGUUAUUGAAGAAGGACCUGAACCCAAACCAAGGCUUAAAGGGGAUUGCCGAACAUACAGAGUAUUUCUGGACCCAAACCAGUAUCAACAAGACAUGACCAAUACAAUCCAAAAUGGAGCAGAAGAUGUUUAUGAGACAUUUAAUAUAAUAAUGAGAAGAAAACCAAAAGAAAACAAUUUCAAGGCUGUUCUGGAGACUAUUAGGAAUUUGAUGAACACAGAUUGUGUUGUUCCUGACUGGCUACAUGACAUCAUUCUUGGAUAUGGAGAUCCAAGCAGUGCACACUAUUCAAAAAUGCCAAAUCAGAUUGCAACUCUGGAUUUUAAUGACACUUUCCUGUCCAUUGAUCACUUAAAAGCUAGCUUUCCUGGAUACAACAUUAAAGUGACUGUUGACAAUCCUGUUCUGCAAAUACCCCCCUUCAGGAUAACUUUCCCAAUAAAGGGAGGCAAAGGAAAGAAAAGAAAAGAGGAUGGGAAUGAAGAAAAACCUGAAGAAGCUAAAACACUGAUUGUAGAGCCUCAUGUCAUUCCAAACAGGGGACCAUAUCCAUAUAAUCAACCAAAACGCAAUACAAUUCAAUUUACCCAUACUCAGAUUGAAGCUAUACGUGCAGGAAUGCAGCCUGGGUUGACUAUGGUAGUGGGUCCACCUGGUACUGGAAAAACUGAUGUAGCAGUCCAGAUAAUAUCCAAUCUUUAUCAUAAUUUCCCAGAACAACGAACUCUUAUAGUUACCCACUCUAAUCAGGCCUUGAACCAGCUGUUUGAAAAAAUCAUGGCCCUAGACAUUGAUGAGCGCCACCUCCUGCGUCUGGGUCAUGGAGAAGAGGAAUUGGAGACAGAGAAAGAUUUCAGCAGGUAUGGAAGAGUUAAUUAUGUGCUGGCUCGAAGACUUGAACUUCUGCGAGAAGUUGGACGACUGCAAGAGAGUCUUGGAGUCCCAGGAGAUGUUUCUUACACUUGUGAAACAGCUGGACACUUUUUCUUAUACCAAGUAAUGUCUCGUUGGGAGGAGUAUAUCAGCAAAGUGAAAGUUAAAGGUGGAAAAGUGCCAGAUGUUACGGAUGUCUCCAGUUUGUUUCCUUUUCAUCAGUAUUUUGCAAAUGCUCCUCAACCAAUUUUCAAAGGCAAAUCCUAUGAAGAAGAUAUGGAAAUUGCUGAAGGGUGUUUUAGACAUGUUAAGAAAAUAUUCACUCAGCUUGAGGAAUUCAGAGCAUUUGAACUUCUCCGCAGUGGCCUGGAUAGAUCCAAAUACCUGUUGGUGAAAGAAGCAAAAAUCAUUGCCAUGACUUGUACUCAUGCUGCUCUGAAACGACAUGACCUGGUUGAAUUAGGUUUCAAAUAUGACAACAUCUUAAUGGAAGAGUCUGCUCAGAUUCUGGAGAUAGAAACCUUUAUACCUCUCCUGUUGCAGAACCCCCAGGAUGGAUUCAGUCGUUUGAAGCGGUGGAUUAUGAUUGGUGACCAUCAUCAGUUGCCACCAGUCAUUAAGAACAUGGCUUUUCAAAAAUACUCUAACAUGGAGCAGUCUCUUUUUACACGGUUUGUUCGUGUUGGAGUGCCAACUGUUGAUUUGGAUGCACAAGGAAGAGCAAGAGCAAGUUUAUGUAACCUGUACAACUGGCGUUACAAGAAUCUGGGUAACCUGCCUCACGUGCAGCUUCUGCCAGAAUUCAGAACAGCCAAUGCUGGGUUUUUGUAUGACUUCCAGCUUAUAAAUGUAGAAGACUUCAAUGGUGUGGGAGAGUCUGAACCCAAUCCUUAUUUCUAUCAGAAUCUUGGUGAAGCUGAGUAUGUUGUGGCACUCUUCAUGUAUAUGUGCCUGCUUGGUUAUCCUGCAGACAAGAUAAGUAUCCUGACAACAUACAAUGGUCAGAAACACCUGAUCCGUGAUGUCAUUAAUCAGCGGUGUGGAAAUAAUCCACUGAUUGGACGGCCAAACAAGGUAACAACUGUGGACAGAUUUCAAGGUCAACAAAAUGAUUAUAUUCUCCUUUCACUAGUGCGUACCAAAGCUGUAGGCCACCUUAGGGAUGUCCGACGAUUAGUUGUUGCCAUGUCAAGAGCCAGGCUUGGGCUUUAUAUCUUUGCAAGAGUAUCGCUGUUUCAGAACUGUUUUGAGCUAACUCCAGCUUUCAGCCAACUCACAGCUCGACCACUUCACCUCCAUAUCAUUCCCACAGAAUGUUUUCCAACGGCAAGACAGAAUGGAGAAAGACCAUCUCACCAAAUACAUGUUAUUAAGAACAUGCCUCAAAUGGCUAACUUUGUGUACAAUAUGUAUAUGCACAUGAUACAGAGUACACGCCACUACCAACAGCAUUUACUGCCCCCACCUGCCAUGAUUGAAGAACCAGAAACUACUCAAACUCAAGAGACUGAAGUAGAAGGUGAGGGGCAAAGCAUGCAGGAAGAUGCUGAAGGAGAAGAAAAUAAGGCCCCAGGUAUAUGUGAUCGCUUCUGGCUCAGUCUUUGUAGAACAACGGCCAAGUAUAGAGUUGUCCUAGACGUCAGUGUUGCCCUAAAAUGACUGGCUUUUACUGAUACCUUACCAUAUAUUGGUCUGGAUUUUCUCAUCUCUGUCAGCGUGUAGCAGUGAAAAAUCAUGUGGAGUGGAAGGCCAGAAGAUACUUCAGCGAUGGGGCAGUUGUCCUAGAUUGCUCCCUGCUCCCGCGACGUUCACCCACUGGCGUUCUGUCAGUCUGAGCUGCGUAAUGAGAUGAGGCACUGAGGACAGCUGCUGCUCCUGACUCAUCUUAGCGCUCGGUCCCAUGCACAGUACCUUCCUGUGACUCUAAGCUGAAGCAGUCAUUAUAAAUCGGAAAGAAAAACGGAGCAAACCCAGUGGAUUUAGUGUUUUAAGUUUUAUUUAUUAAAACACAAAUACCAGUGGAAAUAUAGGUGCAUACCUUGUGUAGUGGUAAAUUUAUAUAGAGAAAGUUGAUCCUUAAGAGAAUGUCUUACUAUAAUCACAAAUGUGCUAUGCUUAAUUUUGUCAGUAUGAAACUUGAUCUUUUACUUAAUACAAGGUAAAGGCUAUUCUGUAAACUACUAGAUUACACCAGGACUUUAAAUGGUUUUGCUAUUCAGUAUACAGAACUAUGAAUGAAUACACCCCCAUGCUUUCUACCUAUGGGAAUAUAUGAAAAGCCUUUCAACUUAAACAAUGUAAUGCCCUUUUAAGUGGUGUUUUGGCAUCUCAUUUCCCCAAAAAUGGUUUGCCCUGCAAAUUUAAGUUACUCUAUUUGGAUUUCUUUUUUUAUAUUUAGAAAUUAUGUCUUGCAGUGUUCCAAGAAGAAUACAGUGGAAUAAAGAGCCGAUAUAAGUUAUUGCUAAUGCUCCUGUACCAUGGAGGAGGAGGUGUGGAGAAGGCAAUCCCUGUCCUAGGUUUCUGAAUUCUGCCAGCAAAGGAGACUCCUAGAGGAGAGCAUGUUCCAUUCAAGCUAAUGAGAGUUUGGGUCAAUAAUUUUUAUCUUAAUCCUCCUAGACUUUAGCUAAAGAUGCCAAGUUUACAUACAUACAAAUACAAAGCUGUCCUAAAAAUUGCUAUCCAAACUUUUGUCUAAGGGAUUGCACGACUGGGUAACUGGGACCUGGAAGGCAAUAGGUAGAAACUGGUGGGACCAUUAGAUCAGAGGUGUAAUAAGCAUAGUAUGCCAUGAGCAUAUUAUGAGGAGAUGACGUGUAACAUGUAGCAGUGAGCUAAAUACAUACCUCAGUGUUUUAGCUUUAAUCUGUGAAUGUAACAAUAGUUCCAUGUUUCUUCUAGCAAGAUCUUUUAAAUGAAUUAGAAACGCAUCUGCUUUGAUCAAAUAUUUUCCCAGUUGGCACCUGUCUCCGCCUCAGGCUACCUUUCUCCUUCACGAAGGGAGGGAAGCGACGGUGUUCGUGACUCUUCUCACGCUCGUGCCUGCAGAGCAAAGCUCUCUUCCUCAAGUCAACCAGAAAAGCCUUAGUGGGAAUCUUCCCUUACCCUCUACCUUCAGAUAUGGGCUCACUGCCUCAGUUUGCUGGCGGUGGCACCUUUUUUCCCCUACUUGGUAACUGUUUGCUGGAUGAGUUUUGCUGCUUUUUGCUGCAGCUUUUUGCAAUCUGGAUAUGGCCUCCCCAGUUGAGGGGAAAGGCAUAAGCCUUGCUUGCAUUUUGGACUGGUUAUGGUAUGCCUCUGAAAGGCGUAAUGUGAAAAAAGAACACAUGUGCUUAUAUGUAGAAAUUUGUGUUAGGGUAAUUGGCCUAAAUUGCGAAACCGCCAGUAACCUAAUUAGCCACUGCCCGACUCUGAAUGUAGGCCACGGACAUCAAGGUCUUCCCUGAGCCAUGCAACCCUUUGGGAUUCGGUAGGAGCUAUGUGCAGAUUUCAGGUUACAGUUUUAGAUUUUGAUGUUAACGUGCCAUUGUAGUCACAAAAUUUUUUCUGUUGGUUUUUUUAGGUCUAGCUCUAGGCUGUAUAGAUAUCAGUAGAUGGAGAAAAGCCAGUCUUGCAGCACCCUUUCAAAUCAGCAGUCUUGGAGGCAAGUAACAAUUAUUCAUAGCAAUCUUUUUGGUAAUUCUAAGAAAAGACUGGAACAUAUUCAUAGUGUUUUCAUUAAAUUUUGUGGACUAUCAGCAUUUCAGAUACUCUAGUAAAACCUGCUUAAAAUAGGGAAGUCAUUCAAUAGAACAACAAAGACUGUACUUUCUUGUCUUGUUCUAGCUUGAAGCCAGAUUUAGGACAUCUUGAAUAUAUUGGCAACUGAGAUGUUUGAAGACAGUUUUAAUUAGCUAUUUAGCUAGUUUGUUUAUGAAAGAUGAUCAGAAAUUGAGCACUAAUUUGCAGUAUUAUUUCAAUAAGUACAUGUUCAGAGUGAAGAUUAGACUGUUUGUUUUCUAGUGGAAGAAAAACAACAAAUCAUCUGCAACUGAAUUUUAAGGGCCUGCGCAGCAAAGGCAAGACUGAAGAUACAGCGCCACUCUUUUGCUAUGUCCUGUGCAGUUUCUUUAUUUGAAUUCAUUCUUCUGCUUAAGUUGACUGGGUGUUUAAAAUUUCAGCUGGCAAGCUGUCAGGCUUGCCAGCAGCAUUAUAACUGAAUAUCAUGACAUCCAUAUACUUACAUUUUCCACCAUAAUACUCGUUUAGCAACCUCAGUGCUGAAAAAAAAUAUGGAGAAAACCCACUUCUUCAUAUACGCUGUGAAAAAAAUGUUGACAUAAUUCAGAUGUAAUUUUGACAUAAUUCAGAUCACCAUGUAUUUAGCUGAAGAUGUUUUGUUAAACUAAAUGCUCAAAUAAUUUUGUGACUGAGGCUUUCUUUGAGAUAUAUAGGUAACAAGAAAGUUACUUAGAAUAUCUUACAGCGCUUCACCCUGAUGUGAUUUAAUAUAGCCUAAGUGGAUUUUACCAGAAUUUUCUGAAGCAUAAACAUAGCUGAAUUAUAAAAAGCUGCCUAUAAAACAGCAUUUGUAAGCUGUCUUUUUAAAAAUUACCAAACAUGCUAAGAGAAACACACACUGAAAAUUCCUUGGAAAUUAUGGAAUGUUCUUGUUUUCUAACAAAAAGAUGGGAAAGACAAAAUAAAGGAAAUUGGAGGAUUUGAGGAACAUCUGAAGUGCUUGUGUAACAGAUACAAACAGAAACCUUCCCACAGGGAUUUUGGGACUCAUGUUUUCCUCCCUGUUUUGGUUCUUUGCUGCUUCUAUUGUAUGCCUGUUCCAAAAUGCACUCUUUUCUACUGGGCACAGUGGAGUUUUCUGUAAGAUCGCUGCAAAACUUUUCUAGCCAUCCUUAUUUCUCUCUCCCUGUCAUGGAAGGAUGGGGGAACCGCAUGUGUAAUAUCUCUAGGAUAUGCCAGGUCUCUCCUCCAAAAGUUUUCACUAAUCAAAACGUGACAUGCACAUGCAUUAGUGUCUACCUUUAGUUUCCCUGUUUUCAUGCUUUUUGUGGUCGAGAGCAGAAGAUGCUUACCGUACCAACUCAAAUGCAGCUGCCAAAACCACGGCUAAGGCUGGAAGCUGCAUCUUCAGCUCUGCGGCAGAGGUGACACACCACGGCUUUAACGCAGGGCAGCCGGCAGUUCCCCUCGGGAUGUGCAGUCUCUGGCUGAUGGUGACUUCGACACACUUCUGUCCUUGCCCGGCAGCUCCAGCCAGCCCAGCCACCCCGUUGGGAUUACGUGAGCUGGCGCAAAGGCAGUUUCUCCCAAGGUUGCGGGUUUAUGGGUGUGAACGGCAGGCUUAGGGGUGCCUCAAUUCCUGCGAGAGGUUUGCUGCCUGCCGUGAUCCCUCCGUUCCUUGCAGCCCACCCCAGACCUGAGCCACUUGCUGAGGCCGCGUCUGUCGCUGUGGGCACGUCCCUGUCCUGGUACGGUGCGGUUGGUCGUGUUCAGGUGGCGAAAGAGGAGACGAGGGCUUUUGUCAAACAACGUAUUCACCUUGCUUUCCUCCUUUGGUGAAGGCCUGGCAGAGGAAAUCUGAUCAUUUAAAAAGCCAGACAGUUGUGCUGUAAAGAAAGGUAAGGCUGUUUUCCAUGUAUUUUUCUGCUUUUACUGAUAUUGAGCAGUUCAUGUACUUUUCAGUAUUAUAUCAUAAAUAUAGCAUAAAUUCACCUAAUAAAUCCACAUCAUCCUUUCCCUGACCUCUAUUAUAGUCUCUUUCUAAACAGGAACAGUAAAAGCGAUGUUAUUAGGUUAGUUAUGAAAAAGUAGUGUGAUUGGUAUGAAAUUAGUCUGUGGGCAACACUAGGUAGAGUUGGAUUGUUCAAGAAAACAUUCUUUCUGGUCAUAUUUGAAAUGUUUUCUAAACAGAACUUGGCUGAAGAAAUGGAACUGUUUAGGUUGCCCAUAGAUCCAGAAUUACUGUUAUUUUUCAUGACGUUGUUUACUCUGUCAUGAUUUUAAAGCAGUGCCUGCUGCCAUGUUGUUCAUGUAUUUUAUUAGCAUCUCAAUUAAAGCAACCCAUUUAACUCAAUAAUAUUGUGCUACCCUCAAUGAUCACUCAUUAGACUGAGUAAUACUGUUUUUUACUACCUUGACUUUGCUUCUUUUUCUCUCUCCUUGAUGUUUAACCACUUUAUCACUCUGUAUAUAUGGUUGUUUAACAGGAGUCCUUUGAUAACCAAGGUGUGCACAUAGUAAAUGCUUGGUUUUCAUUUUUAAAAGAAUUU